GUCUGCUGGGACGGCUCAGUUGUUAAAGCAUGAGACUCUUAAUCUGAGGGUCGUGGGUUCGAAUCCCACAUCGGACA